rnacentral:rRNA from 1 species
ACGGCUCAGUAACACGUGGACAACNUACCCUCAGAUCAGGGAUAACUCCGGGAAACUGGAGAUAAUACCAGAUAGUCCGUGAACGCUGGAAUGCCUCACGGUCCAAAGCUUUUGCGUCUGAGGAUGGGUCUGCGGCCGAUUAGGUAGUUGCUGGGGUAACGUCCCAACAAGCCGAUAAUCGGUACGGGUUGUGAGAGCAAGAGCCCGGAGAUGGAUUCUGAGACACGAAUCCAGGCCCUACGGGGCGCAGCAGGCGCGAAAACUUUACACUGCGCGAAAGCGCGAUAAGGGGACCUCGAGUGCGUGCGCAUUGCGUACGCUUUUCAUAUGCCUAAAAAGCAUGUGGAAUAAGGGCCGGGCAAGACCGGUGCCAGCCGCCGCGGUAACACCGGCGGCUCGAGUGGUGGCCGCUAUUAUUGGGUCUAAAGGGUCUGUAGCCGGCUGGAUAAGUCUCUUGGGAAAUCCGACAGCUUAACUGUCGGGCUGUCAGGAGAUACUCUUCAGCUCGAGACCGGGAGAGGUGAGAGGUACUUCAUGGGUAGGGGUGAAAUCUUGUAAUCCUUGAAGGACCACCAGUGGCGAAGGCGUCUCACCAGAACGGAUCUGACGGCAAGGGACGAAAGCUAGGGGCACGAACCGGAUUAGAUACCCGGGUAGUCCUAGCCGUAAACGAUACUCGCUAGGUGUCGGCCACGGUGCGACCGUGGUCGGUGCCGUAGGGAAGCCGUGAAGCGAGCCACCUGGGAAGUACGGCCGCAAGGCUGAAACUUAAAGGAAUUGGCGGGGGAGCAC